ACAGGGAUUGCCCUAGUAACGGCGAGUGAAGCGGCAACAGCUCAAAUUUGAAAUCUGGCGUCUUUGGCGUCCGAGUUGUAAUUUGCAGAGGGCGCUUUGGCAUUGGCAGCGGUCCAAGUUCCUUGGAACAGGACGUCACAGAGGGUGAGAAUCCCGUACGUGGUCGCUAGCCUUUACCGUGUAAAGCCCCUUCGACGAGUCGAGUUGUUUGGGAAUGCAGCUCUAAAUGGGAGGUAAAUUUCUUCUAAAGCUAAAUACUGGCCAGAGACCGAUAGCGCACAAGUAGAGUGAUCGAAAGAUGAAAAGCACUUUGGAAAGAGAGUUAAAAAGCACGUGAAAUUGUUGAAAGGGAAGCGCUUGCAGCCAGACUUGCCUGUAGUUGCUCAUCCGGGUUUUUACCCGGUGCACUCUUCUAUAGGCAGGCCAGCAUCAGUUUGGGCGGUUGGAUAAAGGUCUCUGUCAUGUACCUCUCUUCGGGGAGAACUUAUAGGGGAGACGACAUGCAACCAGCCUGGACUGAGGUCCGCGCAUCUGCUAGGAUGCUGGCGUAAUGGCUGUAAGCGGCCCGUCUUGAAACACGGACCAAGGAGUCUAACAUCUAUGCGAGUGUUUGGGUGUCAAGCCCGAACGCGUAAUGAAAGUGAACGGAGGUGGGAACCUUUCGGGGUGCACCAUCGACCGAUCCUGAUGUCUUCGGAUGGAUUUGAGUAAGAGCAUAGCUGUUGGGACCCGAAAGAUGGUGAACUAUGCUUGAAUAGGGUGAAGCCAGAGGAAACUCUGGUGGAGGCUCGCAGCGGUUCUGACGUGCAAAUCGAUCGUCAAAUUUGGGCAUAGGGGCGAAAGACUAAUCGAACUAUCUAGUAGCUGGUUCCUGCCGA
rnacentral:rRNA from 1 species